AUUGAACGCUGGCGGCAGGCCUAACACAUGCAAGUCGAGCGGAUGAAGGGAGCUUGCUCCUGGAUUCAGCGGCGGACGGGUGAGUAAUGCCUAGGAAUCUGCCUGGUAGUGGGGGAUAACGUCCGGAAACGGGCGCUAAUACCGCAUACGUCCUGAGGGAGAAAGUGGGGGAUCUUCGGACCUCACGCUAUCAGAUGAGCCUAGGUCGGAUUAGCUAGUUGGUGGGGUAAAGGCCCACCAAGGCGACGAUCCGUAAAUGGUCUGAGAGGCUGAUCAGUCAAACUGGAACUGAGACACGGUGCAGACUCCUACGGGAGGCAGCAGUGGGGAAUAUUGGACAAUGGGCGAAAGCCUGAUCCAGCCAUGACGCGUGUGUGAAGAAGGUCUUCGGAUUGUAAAGCACUUUAAGUUGGGAGGAAGGGCAGUAAGUUAAUAACUUGCUGUUUUGACGUUAACAACAGAAUAAGCACCGGCUAAAUUCGUG
rnacentral:rRNA from 1 species